UGCACCAGUCCGACUUCUAAUAAGCCAUGGUGGGUAUCAUCUGGAUUGGUGUUGUAUAAAUGUAACAAUAACAAGUUUUUCGUGUCCUAAUUUAUGUCUGGCCAUACAUUGUGUUUGUACUUCCAGACACAUUUCACGAAGCAGAACGCAGUCUUCAGAAAUAUCUAAGUGAACACUGUGAUAUGUCUGACCUUCAGUCCGAAGCUGAAACUCAGACCAGUCAUAAAAGAAAGCACAAACCAAAUCCCCUGUACACAUAUAGUGACUCAGAGGAUGAGCAGCCCACAAAAAAUGGUUUCCCCAGGCCCCUCGAGUGAAAAUACCAGACCUGACGAGAGCUGUUAGCGAACUCUGUGAGGAGGUCAGAGCCAUCCGCAAUACUGGCU